rnacentral:rRNA from 1 species
UACGUAGGGUGCAAGCGUUGUCCGGAAUUAUUGGGCGUAAAGAGCUCGUAGGCGGUUCGUCGCGUCGGCUGUGAAAUCCCGAGGCUCAACCUCGGGUCUGCAGUCGAUACGGGCGGACUGGAGUUCGGCAGGGGAGACUGGAAUUCCUGGUGUAGCGGUGAAAUGCGCAGAUAUCAGGCGGAACACCCGUGGCGAAGGCGGCCAGCUGGGCCGUCCCUGACGCUGAGGCGCGAAGGCGUGGGGAGCGAACGGG